rnacentral:tRNA from 2 species
UCUAAUGUGGCAGAUAAGUGCAAUGGAUUUAAGCUCCAUACAUAGAGAAUGUCCUCUCAUUAGAA